rnacentral:rRNA from 1 species
CUACGGGUUGCUGCAGUGGGGAAUAUUGCACAAUGGGCGCAAGCCUGAUGCAGCCAUGCCGCGUGUAUGAAGAAGGCCUUCGGGUUGUAAAGUACUUUCAGCGGGGAGGAAGGGAGUAAAGUUAAUACCUUUGCUCAUUGACGUUACCCGCAGAAGAAGCACCGGCUAACUCCGUGCCAGGCAGCCGCGGUAAUACGGAGGGUGCAAGCGUUAAUCGGAAUUACUGGGCGUAAAGCGCACGCAGGCGGUUUGUUAAGUCAGAUGUGAAAUCCCCGGGCUCAACCUGGGAACUGCAUCUGAUCCUGGCAAGCUUGAGUCUCGUAGAGGGGGGUAGAAUUCCAGGUGUAGCGGUGAAAUGCGUAGAGAUCUGGAGGAAUACCGGUGGCGAAGGCGGCCCCCUGGACGAAGACUGACGCUCAGGUGCGAAAGCGUGGGGAGCAAACAGGAUUAGAUACCCGAGUAGUC